rnacentral:Y_RNA from 1 species
AGCUGGUCCAGUGGUAGUGGGUCAUCAGAACUUAUUAACAUUAGUGUCACUAAAGUUGUUACACAACCCCCCACUGCUAAAUUUGACUGGCUAAAA